AAUCUACAGGUCGAGCAAGUCUCGUAAAUUUCACGAUUGCGAGCCACGCUUCACGCAACCGUGUUUGCGUACUUGUGUUUCGAGUUGCGUGGUCGUGCGGAGUUAUAUUUACCAAAUUUAAAUAUAAUCGUUUUCAAAAUUAAAUCAAUAUGGCUACUGGGUGUAAAAGAUAAAUCUUAUUCUAUCUGUUCUUAAUGAGUUUUAGAUAAUUUUAGUUGUAUUUCUUUGUAAUUUUGUGUUGUACAAAGAUUAAUUUAACAUUUUCUCUGGAAGUAUUAAUUUAGAAAGAUAAUAUGCUUCAUUGGUGUUUUGAAGUGUGAAAUGCAAAGUAAUUGUGAUAGUUAAAUGCAAGAUAAAGUUCACUUUUAAACUGAACUAAAUAAGGUAUCUGAGAGACAACAAUGGUUAAAUGCAAUACAAUGUACAGGUUUUACUAGCGAAAUGAAAAUUUUCCUGUCCUGUCUGCUGUAAUCAUUUUAUAUCUGGUAAGUUACAAUUGCAACAGUAACGAUUUUUGAAGAUGUUAACAUAAUCUAAAACCAACCGACUUAAUCGAUAAUAACAAUCUCCAGAUUGGGUUCCUUCAAUAAAUAUGGUCUAUAAACACAAUGAAAUAAGUUCCCCAAACUCUAAAAUGGAGUGGUAUCAAAGGAGAAUUAAAGGGAAAAAUAUUCAUAUUGAAAUUAUUUAUAAGGCACUGGACUGUCUUAAAUUCUACAAUAAUACUAGAAUCAGCUGAGAGAAGUGGUCUACAAAAAACCAGGAAGGAAAUGGAAUAUGUGGCUACGAAAGGCAAAAGAAAGGUUUACAAAGCAAAUGUGACACAUCUUUUUGAAAUAUUUAGGAAUAUCAGUAAAUUGCAUUGAAAAAAUGUAUGAAAAGAUUUUGUUCAAUAAAAAUGUUUAUAUUUA